AGUGAACGCUGGCGGUAGGCCUAACACAUGCAAGUCGAACGGCAGCACAGUAAGAGCUUGCUCUUACGGGUGGCGAGUGGCGGACGGGUGAGGAAUACAUCGGAAUCUACUUUUUCGUGGGGGAUAACGUAGGGAAACUAACGCUAAUACCGCAUACGACCUACGGGUGAAAGCAGGGGAUCUUCGGACCUUGCGCGAUUGAAUGAGCCGAUGUCGGAUUAGCUAGUUGGCGGGGUAAAGGCCCACCAAGGCGACGAUCCGUAGCUGGUCUGAGAGGAUGAUCAGCCACACUGGAACUGAGACACGGUCCAGACUCCUACGGGAGGCAGCAGUGGGGAAUAUUGGACAAUGGGCGCAAGCCUGAUCCAGCCAUACCGCGUGGGUGAAGAAGGCCUUCGGGUUGUAAAGCCCUUUUGUUGGGAAAGAAAAGCAGCAGGUUAAUACCCCGCUGUUCUGACGGUACCCAAAGAAUAAGCACCGGCUAACUUCGUG
rnacentral:rRNA from 1 species